GAAGCGGGGGGGACACGAGGGGGACAUGUCCCCCCCAAUAUUGGAGAGAGUCACAUUCGUCCCCCCCAAUAAUUUCACCGCUGUUGCGAAGAAUUUUAAAAUCUUCCACUCGCGUGCUUUUAUUUUGAAGGCGCACAACAGCGCAUUCAGCGGAGCGCUUCCUCCCCCUCCCCCCUCUGAACGGCUCAGAGUAAAGGCAGCAGCAGACAGAGUCAGAGAAACUCCGUUUGAAGGAGGUAAACUGUCUGUCAGGAAUUUUGCUAUGAAUAUCGCUCGGUUAUAACAUCUUGUUGUCAGUUUACUUUCGUAUAUAGAACUAAAUCUUUUAGGUUAAGCCGUUUUAAUUCUGGGAUAGUCACAUGUCCAAAAUUUUACUGCUAACUUUGUUUAAAAGUUAGCUAGUCUAGUUACAAUGAUUUAUUUAAUCAGAAUGAGACUGAAACAGCAGCGAAAUUAGCCUUUUUAUUAUGUAAAGUGAGCAACAUCUGAUCAUACACGACCACUUAACGUGUAAUUAUAUAUUAUAUUAUAUUAUAUUAUAUUAUAUUAUAUUAUAUUAUAUUAUAUUAUAUUAUAUAUUUAGGAGAACAGCACAGUGCUAGAAUGAUGUUGAAGAAAGGUGAAGAAGCUCUGGUGAGGUCUUCAUUUAGUUUAUUGAAAUAUGUAUUAACUGUUUUUAAUUUUUAAAUAAACUAAACUAUUUUAUUAUGAGAGGAGCAGGUCAGGGAAGGCAUAGGAGAGCCAGGUGGAGUUUCAGAGUGUGAAGAUAUAAAAAUGAUAUUAAUUACAAUAAAACCAGAAAGGAGAACAGGUGAAGACUGAUGUCAGGUUGAUUUCUUUCAACGUUACAAUAUUUUUUUCAUUAUUUCCACACUUUAAGGGUAAUGGUUAGGAGGCAAUAAGAAAAGUGCUUGAGGAGAGGUUUAAAAAUAAAUUAGUGAAAAUUUUUGCUACACAGUAAAUAGAGUUGAGUUGUAUAAUGAUGUAUACAUCUGAAAAUUAAAUUGCUUAAAUUCUCAUUCUGUAUGAUAAAAACAUACUUUUUAUAUUUAGUUCACAUUCUGACACUGUACAUUACUGUAGUGUCUGUUGUAAAUACAUGAAUCCAUGCAGGAACAUCAGGCUGCAGAGAGUCAGAGGGAGGCAGAACACAUAUCCAUAGAUAUUUUAGUUAAAUAUUUGUGGCUGAAAAUGACAGG